UUCUGGUGUCACACGCGUGGUUUACACGUGCACUUUAGGUGGCAGUGGAGGAAAUUCGAAUGAUGUCUGGAUUAUUGUCUCCUGGUAACUUUGGCAGUUAACUUUUGCUUUCAAUCUACUUUUUAAGAAUAAUACAACCCUCGCUAAUCAUUGCCAAGCUCCAUUUCGAUCUUGGAAGAAUGAUCUUCAGCUACAAUUCAAAAUUAAGGGAUGAUGUUGUGUACUUAAUUUUUCUCGAUUGUUUAUAUCUGUGACUGUUUAUGUGAUGUAUCAACUGAUCAAGCUGUACAGUGUCAUGCCAUAGAGUGGGAUAACUUCCAUUUAUGUGCUUGCGCAUCAUUUUGUCAGAAGAAGAAAAUUCUAAAAUGAUAAUUACGAUUUUUAACAUGUAUAUGAUUAUAUGUGUAUGUUUGAUUUUAGUAUAAUACUUGUAGAAAAUAUUUCAGUAAUAUGAAGUGUCACACAUUUAGACGCAUGCAUGUGGUGUUUAAAGGUCUCAUCAGAAAGACCAGCAACUUUCUCUUUUGAAUGCUAAAUAUGACGAUGGAGCAUUCACCUCACUACCUACAUUUUCACCCUAAAUAAAGUACAAGCAUGGCUCGAAACCAUGAUUUCUUGAUCCUGUUACCACUGAGCUACCAUGACCAAUUUUUUAACAUGAAUUCAUAGGUAAAAAUUAUUAAAAUCUAUAACUAAUUUUUUUGGUUAAUUCCAUAAAUAUUAUUCCUCUCUCUCGACACAAUUCUGGGUAACCCCCCUGCCUUUGGGGGUAUAAGCACCUCAUUUCUUUCAGAAUGGGACAAUGUCAGGAGAGCUUUUGUUAUUUGUUAUACUCUUAGUGUUGAUCGUAUCUAUGAACAACAGGAUAAUGUUUUUAGAUUAUUAUUUCUGAUAUCAUAUUUGUAAAUUGUUUAUGAGGGGUUGUUAAAAGUUUGUGGACAAAAGGACACACUUAUUAAAAAUUGAAAGUUAUCGUAAGUGAAAAACAUAGAUGUGUAACAAGAUUAAAAGAUUGUAGAUUUGAACAUUUUAAUUUUAACUAAUUUUUAUAAGUAUUGAUUUCAGAUACAUGUAUGACAUUGCAUGAUUGAUCGGGGGGGGGGGGGGGGGGCUACAGUUAGAUAAUAUUCUGGUCAGCACAUUCAAUAAACUACAUGGAACUCAUUAAAUAACUUCUUAUUCUUUCAGUGGUCUUCAACUUUUAAUCUCCAAGAAGGAAAUGUAAUUAAAAGAUGAAUAAAGUAUCCCUAAGAAUACCAGAAGAAAGGCUAUGUGUUGAGAAAAACAGCCCUUCCUCAGUACCUCAGAACUAGAUGAUAGCCCUUGUUACUUUAUGCUGAAUAUGACACAGUAUAGAAGAUCUGAUCAUGAGGAAGUUACACCACUUGCCAACUGCCAAAAUUACUUUCUGAUAAUACGACGAGAUUAGAAGAUAUAAUGGUGUAGUCAUGACACAAACUGCAAAUCAAAGAAUUAAUUGUCUUCCCCAGAGGAUGAACAGAGCACAAUGGCUUCACAUGGAUAACAUUUCCUUUCGAGUUUUGAAAUUAAUUUGUCAGAAUGUUAUGCAUCAUAAUCAACAGAAAAGAACUUCACAGGUAGACCAAAGCUGACAUGGGAUGAGAUACUAAAACGAGACCUAGAGUUUACGGGAUUGGAUAGGAUCAAUCCACUGGGUCGCCAAGUGUGGAAGUACAAACUUCAACCUCGACAGGACAGCCAGGCCUCACCCUUGUAAAAAAGAUUAAUUUGGCUGGAUAGUCAAAAUGAGUGAUGAUGAUGAUAUCAAGGUCUGACACUGGAAGCUCAGAAAGGGUAGAUGCUGGCAAUGGAGCUGUUUAGCAAUACAACAAACAGGUUUAACAUUGAACAUGUUUAUAUACUUUUUUAGCUCACCUGAGCCAAAGGCUCAAGUGAGCUUUUCUGAUCACCUUUGCCUGCACGACGUGUCGUCCGUCUGUCUGUAAACAUUUCACAUUUUCAUUUUCUUCUCCAGAGUGAACCACUGGGCCAGUUUCAAUCAAACUUGGUAGGCAUCAUCAAUAGAUAAAUGGUAUUCAAGCUUGUUCAUAUAAAGAGUCACACACCCUUCAAAAAGGAAUAAUCAUGGCAAUGCAAAAAUAGGGUGGGGUCAUUUAAAAAACCUUUUCAAGAACCACUGGAUCAGGAAAGUUGAAUUCACAUAAAAGGUUCCUGUUUUGUGCAAAUCAUGGUCUCUGGGGGUAGGGUGAGGUCAAAAUAGAGGAUCAAAGUUUUACACUCAUAUAUAGUACAGAUUCAAGUUUGUUAAAAGUAAUCGCUCACAGGGGUAGAGUGGGGUCACAAUAGGGGAUCUAAGUUUUACAUGUGAAAUAUAUGCAAGGAAAAUCUUUUAAAAAUCUUCUCCUCAAAAACUAGAUGCAGAAUUGUAGCUCUUUGAGAAGGUAUUGGGGCAAGUCAGAGAGCUUCAGAUGAACCCCUUAUAAAAAAUCUUCAAUUUACGGCACAGAAAAAAAGUGCAUGGUUAAGUCCCUCUAUCACUGCAUUCCUGCAUCGCUGUCUCAUGAAUUUAAUAUUAAACAAUUCCUAACAUAUAUUUCCACUAUACUUGUUUCCAAACAUACUUUCAAAUAUUCCCUAAACCCUUAUAUAACCCCAAAACUCGCAGCUUCAAGUGAUUUUCUUUGUUGAUGUAGCCAUGUUGGGUAGCCAGUCAAUUUGAACCCCAGUUCAUUUCCAUACUCAUACUCAGUUUGAAACAUAAUGUCUGUGUGAACUAAUAUCCUCAAAAAUAUUUUUAGUGAAAUAUUUUCGAUGAAAUCAUCCCACUUGGGUUAAAUACUUAUUAUUCAAAUACUGUAUGUUUGAAUAUUGAACUAAUCUCACAGCUUUCUUAAGUUUGGUCCCCAUCCCUGCCAGUCUGUUUUUACGCUUAACUAUUGAAAUUGAUUGUAAGGAAUUAGACUAGGCUUUUAUAGCAUUAUAAAUUUUCAAAAGCUUUAGAAAAAUUAUACAAUUUUAGGUCACUUGAGUAAACUCAGAUGACAUAUUGCUAUUGGUCUACGUCUGUUGUAGUCCGUCGAAGUUAACAAUUGAACAUUUUUAACUAAAUUCUAUAACUGAAAGGUGAAGAUAACAAACAGCGAUCAAUUUACGAUUCGAGUAACGGAAUUCUUUUCAAAUUUAGUAUGAAGCACACAAAUUUACAUUAAACCUUCCUGACAUAGUGCAUAUUCAAGUUUGUUAAAAUCAUUUCCCCGGGAGGUAUGGUGUGGUAACAAUAGGGGAUCAAAGUUUUAUAUGCUGAUAUAUUUAAAGGAAAAAUCUUUAAAGAUAUCUCUGGAACUAUUUAAGCUAGGGCUUUCAUAUCUUGUAUAUACAAUUUUUAUGGCAAACCAAAUCUGACCUAUUCAGUAUGUCCUGAACUACAUUGUGUUUAAGGUAGAUCUUUCAUAUAUAUUAUAUAUUAUGAAUUUCUUAUGAUAAAACCUUUCAUCUUGUUGAGGGGCCUCUCAACUCUGGUUGGUGCAGGUUUGAAUCCUGCUCGCACCGGUAAGUGAGAAAGUUUCCCAGUUUACUUUCGGAAGGUCGGUGGUCUCUUCCCAGGUACAUUGUAUCUGGGUUCUCUCUUCCACCAAUAAAGACUGGGCACCACCAGAUAACUGAAAAAUUGUUGAGUGUGGUGGAAAACAGCUAAAACAAUCAAUCAUAUUAUGUUUUUUGACCUUGUGACCCUGAACUCUGAGUUUGACCUACUUUUCAGAAAGUAUAACCUAUUACGUAUAUCCAGGACUAUUUUAGAUCGGGCUUUCAUGUUUUGUAUAUAGAUUACUUAUGGCAAGGUCUUUCAUAUCAUACCAAGACCUAUGACUUUUUACCUUGGUCUUAUCCAGAACAGUAAUAUCAUGCUAGUCAUAUCUUUGUGUUAUAUGAAUUCAUUUUAGUAAUGUUGUGUUCUUUAGGGCUAGGUUUGGGUCACAUUAUUCAUGAGAGUAAAGAUUGAUAAAAUAACAUUUAAAAAUCACAACAGCAGGGCCAAGGUGACUGAGGUGAGCGAUGUGGCCCAUGGGCCUCUUGUUGAUUUUGAUAUUUGUACAUAUAUCAUUUGUAUAAGAAAUGGAACUCUCUUUUUUUCUUUUACAAAUACAUGUAUUAUCAUAUGGAUCCAUCUUUGUUGAUUAUUUAAUCAAAGGACUACAUUCAAUUCAUCCAAUGUAUUAAAUGUAAAUUUAUUGAUAUGUCUGUGGUUGAAUUACUCAUGUAUGUAUACAUUUUUCUCGCACAUGCAAUUACAUAUAUGAUGUAUAUAUAUUUACUAAUUGUACAUAUAAUAUCCCCUGUAAUAUAAUAAAAUAUAUGACUGAGAAUAAAAGACCUGCUGUUUUCAUUGCUACCAUGAAACAUUAAAAUAUUAGAAUAAUUCAAAUAUCUUAAUGAA